rnacentral:rRNA from 1 species
GACGAACGCUGGCGGCGUGCCUAAUACAUGCAAGUAGAACGCACAGUUUAUACCGUAGCUUGCUACACCAUAGACUGUGAGUUGCGAACGGGUGAGUAACGCGUAGGUAACCUGCCUGGUAGCGGGGGAUAACUAUUGGAAACGAUAGCUAAUACCGCAUAAUAUUAAUUAUUGCAUGAUAAUUGAUUGAAAGAUGCAACUGCAUCACUACCAGAUGGACCUGCGUUGUAUUAGCUAGUAGGUGAGGUAACGGCUCACCUAGGCGACGAUACAUAGCCGACCUGAGAGGGUGAUCGGCCACACUGGGACUGAGACACGGCCCAGACUCCUACGGGAGGCAGCAGUAGGGAAUCUUCGGCAAUGGACGAAAGUCUGACCGAGCAACGCCGCGUGAGUGAAGAAGGUUUUCGGAUCGUAAAGCUCUGUUGUAAGAGAAGAACGGGUGUGAGAGUGGAAAGCUCACACUGUGACGGUAUCUUACCAGAAAGGGACGGCUAACUACGUG